rnacentral:tRNA from 2 species
GGUCCCGUAGCUCAGCUGGUAGAGCACCACCUUGACAUGGUGGUGGUCGAUGGUUCAAACCCAUUCGGGGCCACCA